rnacentral:sRNA from 1 species
UCUUAACAGGGAAGGACGAAAACCUUCGAUCAAGGUUCGGGCGAGCGUAAGCGAGCAACGUUGCGCAGCAACGGCCCGAAGGGCGAGGCGCAAAGCGACGAGUCAUCCUUCCCCCACCAU